AUUUUCCGGUUGAUCCUGCCGGACCCGACUGCUAUCAGGGUAGGACUAAGCCAUGCGAGUCAACGCCGUAAGGCGUGGCAUACGGCUCAGUAACACGUAGUCAACAUGCCCAAAGGACGUGGAUAACCUCGGGAAACUGAGGAUAAACCGCGAUAGGCCAAGGUUUCUGGAAUGAGCUAUGGCCGAAAUCUAUAUGGCCUUUGGAUUGGACUGCGGCCGAUCAGGCUGUUGGUGAGGUAAUGGCCCACCAAACCUGUAACCGGUACGGGCUUUGAGAGAAGUAGCCCGGAGAUGGGCACUGAGACAAGGGCCCAGGCCCUAUGGGGCGCAGCAGGCGCGAAACCUCUGCAAUAGGCGAAAGCCUGACAGGGUUACUCUGAGUGAUGCCCGCUAAGGGUAUCUUUUGGCACCUCUAAAAAUGGUGCAGAAUAAGGGGUGGGCAAGUCUGGUGUCAGCCGCCGCGGUAAUACCAGCACCCCGAGUUGUCGGGACGAUUAUUGGGCCUAAAGCAUCCGUAGCCUGUUCUGCAAGUCCUCCGUUAAAUCCACCUGCUCAACGGAUGGGCUGCGGAGGAUACCGCAGAGCUAGGAGGCGGGAGAGGCAAACGGUACUCAGUGGGUAGGGGUAAAAUCCAUUGAUCUACUGAAGACCACCAGUGGCGAAGGCGGUUUGCCAGAACGCGCUCGACGGUGAGGGAUGAAAGCUGGGGGAGCAAACCGGAUUAGAUACCCGGGUAGUCCCAGCUGUAAACGAUGCAGACUCGGUGAUGGGUUGGCUUCGAGCCAACCCAGUGCCGCAGGGAAGCCGUUAAGUCUGCCGCCUGGGGAGUACGGUCGCAAGACUGAAACUUAAAGGAAUUGGCGGGGGAGCACCACAAGGGGUGAAGCCUGCGGUUCAAUUGGAUUCAACGCCGGAAAUC
rnacentral:rRNA from 1 species